UGGGGAAUAUUGCACAAUGGGCGCAAGCCUGAUGCAGCCAUGCCGCGUGUAUGAAGAAGGCCUUCGGGUUGUAAAGUACUUUCAGCGGGGAGGAAGGUGUUGAGGCUAAUAACCUCAGCAAUUGACGUUACCCGCAGAAGAAGCACCGGCUAACUCCGUGCCAGCAGCCGCGGUAAUACGGAGGGUGCAAGCGUUAAUCGGAAUUACUGGGCGUAAAGCGCACGCAGGCGGUCUGUCAAGUCGGAUGUGAAAGCCCCGGGCGCAACCUGGGAACUGCAUUCGAGACUGGCAGGCUGGAGUCUUGUAGAGGGGGGUAGAAUUCCAGGGGUAGCGGUGAAAUGCGUAGAGAUCUGGAGGAAUACCGGUGGCGAAGGCGGCCCCCUGGACAAAGACUGACGCUCAGGUGCGAAAGCGUGGGGAGCAAACA
rnacentral:rRNA from 1 species